rnacentral:rRNA from 1 species
AUUGAACGCUGGCGGCAGGCUUAACACAUGCAAGUCGAGCGGAGAUGUGUUGCUUGCACCUUAUCUUAGCGGCGGACGGGUGAGUAAUGCUUAGGAAUCUGCCUAUUAGUGGGGGACAACAUUCCGAAAGGAAUGCUAAUACCGCAUACGUCCUACGGGAGAAAGCAGGGGAUCUUCGGACCUUGCGCUCAUAGAUGAGCCUAAGUCGGAUUAGCUAGUUGGUGGGGUAAAGGCCUACCAAGGCGACGAUCUGUAGCGGGUCUGAGAGGAUGAUCCGCCACACUGGGACUGAGACACGGCCCAGACUCCUACGGGGGGCAGCAGUGGGGAAUAUUGGACAAUGGGGGGAACCCUGAUCCAGCCAUGCCGCGUGUGUGAAGAAGGCCUUAUGGUUGUAAAGCACUUUAAGCGAGGAGGAGGCUACUGAGACUAAUACUCUUGGAUAGUGGACGUUACUCGCAGAAUAAGCACCGGCUAACUCUGUGCCAGCCGCCGCCGUAAUAC